rnacentral:ncRNA from 1 species
AAAGUCCCAUCAGAGUAAAAGUCAAAGCUCUGUAGCUAAAUGACAUGGGUGGAAGAAAUGAAACUUAUGAAGCUCAUUAACAAACGACCUGUUUAGCAGGUUGUGCAAGUUACCAGGCCGUAACGAAAGUGAACGCACAGGUAGCCUCGAAAGUGAUUAAAUCCGGCAGGCCGAGCUAAUAGCCGUAUAGCGAAGGCAGCAUGUUUUUCCGAAACUGACUGAAACGGGAAUGACACGUCCGGCGGGGUGGUAGCGAC